rnacentral:rRNA from 1 species
GAUGAACGCUGGCGGCGUGCCUAAUACAUGCAAGUCGAGCGAACAGACGAGGAGCUUGCUCCUUUGACGUUAGCGGCGGACGGGUGAGUAACACGUAGGUAACCUACUUAUAAUACUGGGAUAACUUCGGGAAACCGGAGCUAAUACCGGAUAAUAUUUCGAACCGCAUGGUUCGAUAGUGAAAGAUGGCUUUGCUAUCACUUAUAGAUGGACCUGCGCCGUAUUAGCUAGUUGGUAAGGUAACGGCUUACCAAGGCAACGAUACGUAGCCGACCUGAGAGGAUGAUCAGCCACACUGGAACUGAGACACGGUCCAGACUCCUACGGGAGGCAGCAGUAGGGAAUCUUGCGCAAUGGGCGAAAGCCUGACGGAGCAACGCCGCGUGAGUGAUGAAGGUCUUCGGAUCGUAAAACUCUGUUAUUAGGGAAGAACAAACGUGUAAGUAACUGUGCACGUCUUGACGGUACCUAAUCAGAAAGCCACGGCUAACUACGUG